AAGCUACUCCCUCCGUCCGAAAAUACUUGUCAUAGGAAUGGAUGUAUCUAGAUGUAUUUUAAUUCUAGAAACAUCCAUUUUUAUUAAUUGUGCGACAAAUAAUACCGGACGGGGACAGUAUUUG
rfam:Hordeum vulgare subsp. vulgare, WGS project CAJW01000000 data, contig: morex_contig_2547509